UACGUAGGGUGCAAGCGUUAAUCGGAAUUACUGGGCGUAAAACGUGCGCAGGCGGUUUUGUAAGUCAGAUGUGAAAUCCCCGGGCUUAACCUGGGACUGCGUUUGAAACUACAAGGCUAGAGUGUGGCAGAGGGGGGUGGAAUUCCACGUGUAGCAGUGAAAUGCGUAGAGAGUGUGGAGGAACACCGAUGGCGAAGGCAGCCCCCUGGGUUAACACUGACGCUCAGGCACGAAAGCGUGGGGAGCAAACAGG
rnacentral:rRNA from 1 species